UGAGGAAUAUUGCGCAAUGGAGGCAACUCUGACGCAGCAACGCCGCGUGGGUGAAGAAGGCCCUCGGGUUGUAAAGCCCUGUCAGGUGGGAAGAACCCUCUGUAGUUGAAUAGACUACAGAACUGACGGUACCACCAAAGGAAGCACCGGCUAACUCCGUGCCAGCAGCCGCGGUAAGACGGAGGGUGCAAGCGUUGUUCGGACUCACUGGGCGUAAAGCGCGUGUAGGCGGCCUGACAAGUCGAAUGUGAAAGCCCGGGGCUCAACUUCGGAAGCGCAUUCGAAACUGUUAGGCUUGAGUACGGGAGAGGGAAGUGGAAUUCCUGGUGUAGAGGUGAAAUUCGUAGAUAUCAGGAGGAACACCGGUGGCGAAGGCGGCUUCCUGGACCGAUACUGACGCUGAGACGCGAAAGCGUGGGGAGCAAACA
rnacentral:rRNA from 1 species